AGUGAACGCUGGCGGUAGGCCUAACACAUGCAAGUCGAACGGCAGCACAGUAAGAGCUUGCUCUUACGGGUGGAGAGUGGCGGACGGGUGAGGAAUACAUCGGAAUCUACUUUUUCGUGGGGGAUAACGUAGGGAAACUUACGCUAAUACCGCAUACGACCUACGGGUGAAAGCAGGGGAUCUUCGGACCUUGCGCGACUGAAUGAGCCGAUGUCGGAUUAGCUAGUUGGCGGGGUAAAGGCCCACCAAGGCGACGAUCCGUAGCUGGUCUGAGAGGAUGAUCAGCCACACUGGAACUGAGACACGGUCCAGACUCCUACGGGAGGCAGCAGUGGGGAAUAUUGGACAAUGGGCGCAAGCCUGAUCCAGCCAUACCGCGUGGGUGAAGAAGGCCUUCGGGUUGUAAAGCCCUUUUGUUGGGAAAGAAAAGCAGCAGGUUAAUACCCCGCUGUUCUGACGGUACCCAAAGAAUAAGCACCGGCUAACUUCGUG
rnacentral:rRNA from 1 species